UGGUGGUAAUAUUGUGACAGUCCACUAGUGACAAUCUAGUUUAAAAUGCUAGCUUUGUGAAUAAACUGUUCUAGGUUCACACACACACACAUACAUGCACGUUUAAAUACACACUGAUAUGGGUGUGUGUGUGUGUAUGUAUAUGUAUAUGUAUGUGUGAUUGUAUAUAUUGUGUGUAUGUGU